UACGUAGGGUGCAAGCGUUAAUCGGAAUUACUGGGCGUAAAGCGUGCGCAGGCGGUUGUGCAAGACCGAUGUGAAAUCCCCGGGCUCAACCUGGGAAUGGCAUUGGUGACUGUACGGCUAGAGUGUGUCAGAGGGGGGUAGAAUUCCACGUGUAGCAGUGAAAUGCGUAGAGAUGUGGAGGAAUACCGAUGGCGAAGGCAGCCCCCUGGGAUAACGACUGAC
rnacentral:rRNA from 1 species